AUGGGACCACGCGAAGUGAGCUUCAAAAGCCUACCAAGGAAGUCCAAGAGGCGCGGCGUUCCGUUACCCAGCCCAUCUCCACGCUCUUCGUGGGGCGGGCACAAACUCUGGUUUCUCUUCAGCGUUUACCUCUUUGAGCCUAACCGGAACCUGAAGACCCAGCCUGCACCUCCAUCCUCCACCUUACCCACCACAACCUCGUUCCUACCCCAUCUUUUCAGCGCGCCAAACGACCCACCCCGGGCACUCCAGCCGUCCCAAUUUCUACUUCCCGAGGGAACUACUGUCUCCCUUACCCGCCCGAAGCACGCUCCUUCUUCGCAUACAGUGGACCCGAACUCCUCUUCCAGCUUGAGGUCCCCACCAUCUAACCGUAACGUUCAACCCACGUUCCCUCGGACGGCUCCUCCCCCACAGCCCUCUCCGCCAGGAAAGCAACUUCCGCCUGCGAGUCCGCCGCCCAAGAGCUACCCCACAAACACUUUCCUGCGGCAGGCAGCCCUGCUUGAGAGCACGCGGGCAGGGCCGGGGAAGGGGAAGACCAGAGCACUUCCGGCAGGGCUCCGCAGAGGCGUGGCUUGCCCGCCCAGCAGGCGCAGGCGCAGUGGGAACUGCGGCGACAGGGCGGGGCCCCUCGCUACAGAGCCUGCAAAGUGUGAGUCGGGAGGACGGGGGAGGGGGAGGGGGAGGGAGCUGGAGGGGGUGGGGCAGGCUUGGUUCUGGAAGCUGCUGGAAAGCGCUGGAGUGGCGGAGGUGACGCCAGAGGCUAGGGGGCGGGGCGUGAUUAAAAUUAGUGCGCGGCCUUCAGCGGAGGGAUUACGCGGCGUUGGAAGAAGAGGUCGCUGGGCGGCUGCCUGCCUGGCACGCAGGCGCAGUGAUGGGCCUCCCUGGCGGGCCGUCAUGGCGGACGCCACGACGGGCUCCCAUAGUUGGUUCUUUUCUGCCCGCGCGCCACCACCCUACGUGUUCACAAACGGUUACCACACACGGAGCUGCCCCUCCCUUCUUCCCCAAACCCAUCCUUGGAGGCCACUUUUCCUUUCUUCCCUCUCUGAUCUGCUCACGGUUGUUUAAUUUUGGUGCCCUGAGAACAUCUAUACAGUGACAAGUUUGGAGCAGAUAAAUAGCUCGAGGAAAGUCCCUUAUAGUUGUGACAUCACCUGCAGAUACUUUCUUGAGACUACCACUAAGGACAUCGUCCAUCUCAACCUACACUGCUGUCUUGCUGGUCAAAAGUCACUGCUUAAAUUGAGUAGUACAUAGCUCAGACUUGGCACAAUGAGUCUUCACGCUAUACCUGUCUCUCAGUCACCCUGCCUAGGAUCAAUAGAAGCUGAGGGGGCGGUGCAUGCAUAUAGAGGCAAGUAAAGUGCUAUUAGGAUGUGGCUUGUGUCCUGCCUUUUAAUGAGAGUGUUGCAUAGUAUGCCCCUGUUUGCCUUACAUGUUCACUUGUCUCAGAGGUGGCUUUCUGUCACGGUGUCAGUCCGCUUUGGAUUUAUUUGGGUUGCUUAGGUUUCUUUCAAAAUCUGUCUUGGUUACUUGUCUUGUUGCUGUAACAAAAAUGCCCUAAUAAUGGCAGUGCAGGGAAGAAUGGGUUUAUUGUGACUCACAGUUUAAGGUUAGUACAUCUCCUGGGGACGUCACUGCAGCAGGGGCUUGAAGUCGCUGGUCACAGUCCUGCACCGUCAAGAAGCAAAGAGCUAAGUAGAUAGAUUAAAGUGGAAUAAAAAUGUAAAGCAUUGUUCA
rnacentral:lncRNA from 1 species